rnacentral:tRNA from 1 species
GCGCCUUGUUUUUAUUGAUAUUCAGGCCGCCUUCUAAGUGGGAUGUUGCAGGUUCGAGUCCUGCUGGGCGCGCCA